UACAGAGGGUGCGAGCGUUAAUCGGAAUUACUGGGCGUAAAGCGUGCGUAGACGGUUAUUUAAGUCGGGCGUGAAAGCCCCGGGCUCAACCUGGGAAUUGCAUUCGAGACUGAAUAGCUAGGGUACGGUAGAGGGAAGCGGAAUUUCCGGUGUAGCGGUGAAAUGCGUAGAUAUCGGAAGGAACAUCAGUGGCGAAGGCGGCUUCCUGGACCAGUACCGACGUUCAGGCACGAAAGCGUGGGGAGCAAACAGG
rnacentral:rRNA from 1 species